rnacentral:rRNA from 1 species
GAUGAACGCUGGCGGCGUGCCUAAUACAUGCAAGUCGAGCGAACGGACGAGAAGCUUGCUUCUCUGAUGUUAGCGGCGGACGGGUGAGUAACACGUGGAUAACCUACCUAUAAGACUGGGAUAACUUCGGGAAACCGGAGCUAAUACCGGAUGAUAUUUUGAACCGCAUGGUUCAAAAGUGAAAGACGGUCUUGCUGUCACUUAUAGAUGGAUCCGUGCUGCAUUAGCUAGUUGGUAAGGUAACGGCUUACCAAGGCAACGAUGCAUAGCCGACCUGAGAGGGUGAUCGGCCACCCUGGAACUGAGACACGGUCCAGACUCCUACGCGAGGCAGCAGUAGCGAAUCUUCCGCAAAGGGCGAAAGCCUGACGGAGCAACGCCGCGUGAUUGAUGAAGGUCUUCGGAUCGUAAAACUCUGUUAUUAGGGAAGAACAUAUGUGUAAGUAACUGUGCACAUCUUGACGGUACCUAAUCAGAAAGCCACGGCUAACUACGUG